rnacentral:lncRNA from 12 species
GUGCAACAUGGACCUUGAACUCGCAACCCUGAGAUCAAGUGGUACAUAUUCUACUGCUUGAGCCAGCCAGGCUCCCCAGAUUUUGGAUAUAUUUUGAAAGUAAAGGUGAUAGUAUUUGCUGAUGGACUAGAUACAGGAUGUGAGAGAGACAACUUAGAUGAUUUUUGACUCAAGAAGAUAAGUGGGUGGAAUUGCUAUUUACUGAGAAGGGAAGACAGCAGGCUGGGCGAUGGGGACAGAAUGGGGGGUGUACAGAGCCAUAAAGAUGAGAAUGGCUGAGAUGAGGGAUGGCUAGGGAGUCUGGGGCUUCUUAUGGGACUAACAUAAAUGGAGAUAGAUGUUAUAAUGAAAGCAAUCCCUGGUGGACUCAAGGUAGAUAGUGAUGGUGAGGUUGUAGGGAGCACUGCGUGAUUGGUGCUUCCACUUGACUCUUGUAGAUAGAAGUGAGGAAGUUUGGGGAGGCUUGAAAUUUGCCCCACCCUGGGCCUCUUUUGACUACUGUUGACAGUGGGUAAAAACCUCCAGAAGGUUUUAGCCCCAGUGUGAGUUUGUUCUUGGCUUCUGCCAGGGGCAGGGAUGUGUAUGGGGUCCCCAGUGACCUCCUGUUGAUGCAGUUGAGGACUUUGAGGUUAAGAUAAGUGUCAGAGCACAGGGCCCUGAUCCCUGAUGAGAGGCCAGUGGAAGGUCUGAGGAGCACUGGAGUUCUAUGGCUCCAUCCUAUCCUUCAAUCCUCUCGUAAGUGACCAUCAGAAGGAGAAUACUUAAAUCAAUUACGGUACAUACUAUGGAAUGUUCUACAGCCAUCGAAAGCAAUGAACUGUAUUUAUCUAAUUGUCUCUCAUCUAUGAUCUGACAGAGAAAAACUGGGAGAGGAGCAGGCCCCACGCAGCCACGACGUCGUCGAGCCUGGUGACCUCGUCUUCAAAUCCCUGGUGAUCGGCAGAGCGGGAACCAGCAGAUCCCGUCUCCUGCAGCGGUUCAUUGGGAAGUUCAAGCAGGACUCCAAGCGCACUGGAGGUCGGCUGGUCAGCGUGGGCGGGCAGCGCGUGACGGUCCGCGCUGGGGACGCAGCGGGCCGGCGCUCGUGGUCGUCGACGCCGAGGUACUGGCGAGGGGCCCUGCGGGGGUGCGGCGUCCCCAGCCCGAGCCGCUAGUCUCCCUGGCCUGCGUCGUCGUGGGCGGCCUCCGUGGCAACCGGAAGGGCGUGGCCGCGGGCGGUAGGCGGCUUCCCUGGAGCCUCCCGCUGCGGGUGACGGAGCCCACGUGCCUGGAGACCGGCGCCCUCACGGUGUUGAAUGACUCUAAGGUGGAGAGGAGAGACUGUGAACCGAUGCCAGGAUCUUCAGUGAAUGAAUAAAGGUAUCAAAGUGUAACCAAAUAGUAUGAAACUUAGAGGAAGAAUCAGGGUUUUUCACCUGAGGGUAAAGG